rnacentral:misc_RNA from 1 species
GCCAAAUUGGAUCUAUAUGUGGUCAUGCCAUAUAUAGUAUAGAUGAGAGCCAAAUUAUUACAAUACCUCAUGUCUCAGUCCAAACCGAUGUUGCUCAUUCGAAAACUGAGUUAAGGUACAAGAAGCUUUUAUCCAGUGUUGACUUGGCAAAAGAUUUUUUCUACAGUUACACCUAUCCUAUAAUGCGAAGCUUGCAGAACAAUGUCUUGUCUAUGGGUGAGGAUGGGAUGCCGUAUGACAAUAUUUUUGUCUGGAAUAGUUAUCUAACACAUACAAUUCGAUCAAGAUGCAAGAACACAAUGUGGACAAUUGCUUUAGUUCAUGGGCACUUUAAGCAGACUAGGCUAUCAAUAUU